UAGGGAAUAUUGGUCAAUGGGUGAGAGCCUGAACCAGCCAUGCCGCGUGCAGGAAGACGGCCUUCUGGGUUGUAAACUGCUUUUGUCAGGGGAUAAAAUUUCCUUGCGAGGAACAUUGAAGGUACCUGGCGAAUAAGCCACGGCUAACUACGUGCCAGCAGCCGCGGUAAUACGUAGGUGGCAAGCGUUGUCCGGAUUUAUUGGGUUUAAAGGGUGCGUAGGCGGCCUAUUAAGUCAGUGCUGAAAUAUCCCGGCUUAACCGGGAGGGUGGCAUUGAUACUGAUGGGCUAGAGUACAGAUGAGGUAGGCGGAAUUGACGGUGUAGCGGUGAAAUGCUUAGAUAUCGUCAAGAACACCUAUAGCGAAGGCAGCUUACUAGGCUGUAACUGACGCUGAGGCACGAAAGUGUGGGGAUCAAACAGGAUUAGAUACCCUGGUAGUCCACACUGUAAACGUUGAUUACUCGCUGUGUGCGAUAUACAGUACGCGGCCAAGCGAAAGCGCUAAGUAAUCCACCU
rnacentral:rRNA from 1 species